rnacentral:rRNA from 1 species
CCUACGGGCGGCAGCAGUGAGGAAUAUUGGUCAAUGGGCGCGAGCCUGAACCAGCCAAGUCGCGUGAGGGAGGACGGCCCUACGGGUUGUAAACUUCUUUUGUCGGGGAACAAAGGCGGAGACGCGUCUCCGGAUGAGUGUACCCGAAGAAAAAGCAUCGGCUAACUCCGUGCCAGCAGCCGCGGUAAUACGGAGGAUGCGAGCGUUAUCCGGAUUUAUUGGGUUUAAAGGGUGCGCAGGCGGGAGAUCAAGUCAGCGGUAAAAUGUCGGGGCUCAACCCCGGCCGGCCGUUGAAACUGGUUUUCUAGAGUUGGAGAGAAGUAGGCGGAAUUCGUGGUGUAGCGGUGAAAUGCAUAGAUAUCACGAAGAACUCCGAUUGCGAAGGCAGCAUACCGGCUCCAUACUGACGCUGAGGCACGAAAGCGUGGGGAUCGAACAGGAUUAGAUACCCGGGUAGUC